GGAGAGGGCUGGCAUGAAGGGAAAGAAAAGAUGUCCGCAGUGAGACAGAUGCUCUGCGCCACGUCUUGCAGAGAUCAAUGACGUCAGACAACAUGUGGGAGCGCAAGAGGGCCCUGCAGAUCUGCUCCCAGCUGCUGGCUGCUUGUGAAGAGCAUGGAGUGAGUAAAGAGCCCCACCGCAUGCCCCUGCUCCCUCCCCAGUGCUCCUGAGCAGGAAGGCGAGCUCCGCCCAGCUGUGCGUGCUGUGCCACCCACCGCGUGGGGAAGGCAUAGGCGGGAGAAGCUAGGGAGAGCUGGGGCUGCCUACAGCUUUUUUCCUGCCUCUGGCCCCUGCAGAGAGGAGAUGCCUGCAAGCACUUUGGCUCCUUGGUGGGAUUGCUGGCGCCUCUGACGUGUGACCCCAUGCCCACAUCCCGCCAGCUGGCCGUCACCUGUCUGAGCUCCCUUCUCCGAAUCCAAGCCAAGGCGACCAAUGGAGUCAUCAAGAUGGGUGACAUCGGGAGCCUGUGUGAGGGGCUGAAUGACCGCAGCACCGUCUGUCAGCUCCAGACCUCUUCCAAAAUUGCACGGAUUGUGUACAGGACCUUCCCCCUGGAAGACACCAUCGACUUCAUGAUGGCCAUCAAG
ensembl:lncRNA